CAGAGAAAGUAGGCGGUAACUGGUGACACGCGCGUGGUAGAAGCAACGCUGCUAGGGUGGCUAGAAGGCGAUGAAUACCGGCGGCGCAAACGUGACCCCACAGCGCACCGAUGCCGCGGGGCAGCGCUGUUGACCAAGGCGGGGAUUCCCGAACAGCCCAUGCUACUUGAUCAAAAGCAGCUGCAGCGGCGAGUCCAGCGUUCUGUCUUGGCUCGGUUGCUCCAUGGCCGCGCGUACGCAUUUUGCACAGAAACCUGUAGCACCGUCUGCAGGGUACUGUUUUACUCACCGAUGGAAGUAAAGGGCAGUGAUGGCACAACGUCGCCACUCUGUUCUCAGGGGCAGGCGAUUUCAUUUGCUCUCUAGUUCUACCCUGCCCCCUCGCUCUAGGUCUUUGUCCAGAGAAGGAAUGCCCACUGCUUGAGCGGCCAUGACAGAGUCGAUGCUGCUUCAAGCUUCAACAAUUCUUGUGCCCGUUACAGCUAUGCAAGCCAACAUUUGAACCACGAAAAUUUUACUUAGCUCCUUCAGGUUUUUUAAAUAAAGUACU